UCCAUCAUCUAUGCCUCAAUCCCAAAUUGGUCGGAACCAGCUUUAUGUAUCUCCUGCACCAUUCGGCUCUAUUUGGACUGACGUAGCACGUGCCUUGAUGGAGCAUAUUUCAACGAAUUCAGUGUUCGGAGGACUCGUUAUGGCCAUUGUUAGCCGUCAACCCACUGUCACCUUCCUCCUUUAUCCGGCUUGGAAUUGACUAGAAUAAGGUGAGAAAAUAAGUACCUGCCUGAGAGUAGCAAAAAAAGGCUUAACAUUUUGCAAAGGUGUUAUACUUUUAAUGAAGCUUUUGUUAUCUCAAGAAAGACUGACAAAAACAGAUAAAAGCAAACCAAGUCUCACAAAUCACAAUAGCUAGCUAGGGGAAGAACAAAAAGAAAAAAAAUUCUCAUAAUAGUCUCUUACUUACUUCAAAGCAUCAUGCUCUUCUUCCUUUAAUCUAAUGUCCGUGGAGAAGUUGUAGAACCAAUGUAAUAACCUACUAGGAUCCAAGCUGAAAUAAAAGAAGAUGUCAAAACUUUGCUUCCAUUUCCAACUAGGUAGCGUGUAUUUGGACGUAAGUAUGCAUCUGUCAUGAACUCGACAUGCCUACUUGACAUAUCGGACAUAUGUAGAUUUCACUCUACAUAGAUGUUCACUUGUCCUUUCUCUAGACAAAACUUUGCUUCCAUUUCCAACUAGGUAGCAUGUACUUGGACGUAAGUAUGCAUCUGGCAUGAACUCGACAUGCCUACUUGACAUAUCGGACAUAUGUAAAUUUCACUUAUCGCAUCAAAGGCUAGUAUUAAUGGAAAAAUGUGAGGCUCAUAAGCUACCAAAUUAUGGCAAACAAAUUCUUACCCCGAAUUUUUUUGAUAACCGAGAAAUCUCCUAGGGUCAAUGGCGCACUGUUCAAAGUUUGGUGGAUAAUAGGCCCGCACCUCUACCCUUCUUCACUUGAAUAUUAGGCUUUUGUUUGUGGCAGGAUCUAAAACCAUGACGUAUUGACGUGUGCCUAACACACACAUCGCUCUUUACCCUAUUACAACUAGACAAAGCCCUGGGGAAAAUCCUUUUAUCUAGACCUUGAAGCUUGAUCAUUCUUGAAGAUCUUCCAAUGUGCGUAGCUUGUUGAAUCAGUUUCAAGCUCAAGAAUUUUUCGUUUUAUAUCUAGUUAUCAUUUUUCCUCUAACCAAUCUAGAAACAGGAAAGAGCGUGUGAUUUCUCAUUUGGAGGGUGGAGUUGGGGGAGGAAGCAAUUGGAAAUAGAAGCAUGUAGACAUUUUUAGUCAGUGUUUUUGUUCUUAGGGUGAGACUGAGUCAGUUACGCACUCGAAACCUCUAGCUUUUUGGUUCUCUAUCCAAGUAUUAGGUUCAAAACAAUACUAGUACUUCCAGAUCUUAUCUUAUUCUUUUAAAGUACUCUGUCUGUCUUUUACCUCAUGGACUCAAACAAGUUCCUAUCCAACACACUCACUUUACUGCGAAAGUGUAGGACACAAUGUAGCAAGAACUUGGAUGAUCUAUACUGAUGUAUAUAGCUCUAGCGAGCAAGAAAACAUAUAUGCAUAAGAACCAAUAGCUUUGUGCAGCUUAAUAGCUUGCUUCUUGCUUUAUAGAGAUUGCUCGUCAGAUAGGCAUUUUCAAUAAAGAUUGCACUAGGCUGUCACCCUUUUUGGCUUAGUCUUAGCGUAUCUUGAUGGUAUUGGGUUGAUUCUUGAAUCUAGUCGAAAAUAUAUAGGUGAACGUAGAGAUCAGCAGUUGAGACGAAGUAUUUAUCAUCCACAAACCGAAAGGGAUUAGGGAAAAAAGCCUGAGAAAACGUCCUUGGAAGGAGUAAUAUUUGAACAAAUGUUAGUGGAACCCAUCCAUCUUGUUACAUAAGCGAUAAUACAUGACAGAUGGAAAUCGGAGAACAUCAUUUUCCUAUUUUUUCUCCACUGAGGAAAAGAAGCAUUGUCCAAGCCAACAAUAAAGCAGACUUGCAUGAGAAUUUAAUUGUCCGUUGUGGAGGCUUGAAAGUUCUAUUUACACCUUACAACUGAUAAGGAGGAAAAAGAAAUGGAUAUGAUAAAAUGUGGGAGUGGCUUCUGGGCACACGGAAGGCACAUUCCCUGUAGUCAAAAAUCUGGACAUGGUGAAAGGUGAGUUUGCCACAGUCUAAUGAGUGGUUGUGUCGGUCUCCAACAAGAACACAACACUUUAGAAGUGUCCAUUCCAUUCAUGAACGGACAAUCAUGGCCGUGAUAAUAUCUCCAAGAUUCUACUUUAAUCAUUCAAGUUAAUCUUCCCCUUCUGAAAAGGAAACAUCUGUACUCCCUCUCAUAGAGGUAGUUUCCAGGUUUGCGUCACAGCUCUUUGCUUGUAAGUAAUUGCUUUAUGACAACAAUCUUCUUUAAUGCUUUAAAAUUCUUGAGCAUACCGUCUUUAUUACAUGAAGUCGAUAAAGUGAUGUAAUUUUAAUUUGAAUAGCAUUAGAAAAAGACAUGUUACACUACUUGAUGGAUAAGUAUUUGGCUGGGAAGGUGAGGAAAUAUCAUUCCAUGCCUGAAUUUUAUCAAACUGCCGUUGCGUAUUUAGUUCAUUAGAGAAGUGGUUUACCAGUUUAUGCUCAGUAUGUACUUUGUAGUUUGCAAAGACCGAAUAAAAGUUCUAUAGAAAAAGCCUAACUUUCCUUUGAAGGUACUGUUUGCUGUUGUUCUUGAGUAACUACUUGAGCAGAGAGAGACCAACACUACUUUUAUUUACUGACCCUACCCAGCCAAAACAGUAAAACCAGAAUAUACCGAGUUAGUUAUAUUAAAAACGGGAAGAUGGAUUCAAAACACAAAGAUUGAUAUUGAAUUUGCAAUAAUGAAAGUUCAUUCCUUUUUGUGUUUUAUUGCAAUUUUUUUCCCUUUUCCUGUGAUCAAAGAAGCCGUACCAAAUAUGCCCCUAGAAAGAUCAGAAGUAGUCAGAGCUGUAAUUGUGCGGACCUGUAAAGAACUCAAACGUGACAACGGGAUGAUAAUACGAUAUGAUGACAAUGCUGCAGUUGUUAUUGAUCAAGAAGGAAAUCCAAAAGGAACUCGAACUUUUGGGAAUCAGAUAGAUUCAUAUCUGAAAGAGGUUGACAACAAGUUCUUUCAAAAUUGACUAUUUGCCCCUCUGUUAGAGGUGUUCCAGAAAUGUCUGCGAUCGAGUAAAUAGCUCUACGAACGAAUGGAUCGGAUCGACUUGGAAAAUGGAAGCCGUUGCUUACAUUGGGUGGAAUUGCUCUUUGGAUGAAUUAUUAUGGGGUUUUGGGUAAAAGUCCGACAAGUAAAGUUCGUCGAUUAAUCAAAAAGUAUUUGGUACCCCUUUCUUUGGCAGAGGUAUGUGCAAAAUCUGAUUUUGAUGGUGUCUUAUGGAAACAAAUUGGCAAGAUUUUAAAAAAGAGUCGUAGUAAUCUUUAAAUUUCCAUAAAGGAAAAAAAAAACUUUGAAUUUAGUUUAUUAGUUCUUUUUCUGGAAUAACAUGACUUCUAUAAAAUUUCUCCUUAAAGAUUCUUGCUCGAACUUGUAAAGCAAUUAGGUUCAUGGUGCAAAGGAGGCUUACUUCGGUCAGCUACCAGAUGAUGUUUUGAUUUCCAUUCUCGCACAUUUGACAGUAAUAGAUGCAGCUAGGAUGAGCAUUUUAUCUAGAAGGUGGAAAUAUAUCUUUGCCUCUAUGCCUACAUUAGAAUUCGAACCCCUUGGCAGGUUUGGGAUUGACUCUUGCGAUCACAGUUGUUGCCCUUACGAUCAGCAAAAAUUCUUGAGAGAACAGUUAUUACAGCUUUAUUCGGGUCGUAAAGUGGCUAAUGUUGAGAUGACCUUUUGCUGUGGUAAAAAUUUUUUUUAGGGAAUUUGACCAAUGGAUGCAUUCUAUUUCAAGAUUAGGUGUUGAAAGACUACGUCUUUCAUUUGAUUGUGGCACUGAUCACCCCAUCUACAACUCCAACCCCAUACGCAACCCCAACAAAUUGUUUAAAUUUUCUCUUGAGCUUCUCUCUCAGGUAUCCUCAUUGAAACACCUGUUUUGUACCAUUGCAUUAUCCAACCAAGUUCCGGAGUCCGUCUUAAUUCCCUUAGGACCGUUACUUCGAACGGUGUAGCAAGCGGACAGCUUGAGAGUGUUUUUUCCUCUUGUUUGAAUCUUAACCAGUUAGAGCUAGCAUGUAGCAAACUUCCUUGUAAGCUAUGCAUCUCUGGCACAAUGACAUUCGUUUUUUUCUUAGCUUGUGGCGGAUUGGAAGAGAUUGAUCUUCGGGCUAAAAAUCUUCGUCGGUUUGAGUGUAUUUUUUUUUAGCAAAGUAAGAUUUUUUUUUCUUUUGUUCCCAUGUUGGAAAUUGUAAUGAUCAAUUUUAACGAAGCCGCUGCAAUGCCAUACAUAUUUGGUGAUUUUGCAAGAGAUUUACUUAUUCUCAGGUAUCUGAUGAUGUCUUGUCUUCUCAAAUUCCUUUGGUCUUUGUCCUUUUGAAGAUCCUGAUCAAUUAAAGCAUUCUUUAUUUCAGAUAAAAUACUUCCCAACCGAGACACAAAUGUUCAGAAACCUUAGGGAGCUAACCUUGGUACUUGUGUUCACGUACGACUUUGACAUAGUCAAAAUUUCCCCUCUCUUAAGCGCUUGUCCUCUUCUUCGACAUUUGGAUUUAGUUCAAUCGAGGACAACAAGGGGAGAAAGAGGAAGUGACAUGAGGCCUCCUUUAUCUCCUACAUGUCACACUAAGCUAAAAGAAGUGACAUUCGAUGGAUUUCAUGGAUCCAAAGCAGCGAUUGAAUUUGCUGUUUAUAUUCUGAGAAGUGCAAUGGUACUUGAACAAAUGUUUCUCAGCCCAUGUUUUAGUUGUUAUUCUGGUAGUGGUACAUGGGAGGAAAUGUUGGAUUUUUCACUCGAUGAAAGAAAACGCAACUCAAUCCAACAAGAACAACACGGGCAAGCUAUCUCUAGGAAUGCUGUGGUGAUCAUCCAAUAGGUUUUUGUACAACUACUACAUCAGCUCUCUACUGUCGUCAAUGGUAUGUAAACUUGUCGAGGUUAUGGAAGUACCUAUUUAUUUGUUAUUGCUAGACAAAGACUAUAUUUUAUGAUUUUCGAAUGGUAGUAGGUCCAUGCUUUAAUGAAGAGGCAUUAUCUGCUUGUGUUGCAUUUUCUUUUGUCCCCUUAGAAUGGCUGGUUGGCCCAGAUGCUCGUGUAAUUAUGUGA